rnacentral:rRNA from 1 species
GACGAACGCUGGCGGCGGGCUUAACACAUGCAAGUCGAACGGAAAGGCCCUUUUGGGGUUCCUCGAGGGGCGAAGGGGGGCGUAAGACGGGGGUAACCAUCCCUAUAUUUCGGGACAAGUGCAGUAAACUGGGGCUAAUACCGGUAAUGAAUCCUUCCUCCAUGGGGGGGGUGGGAAAGAUCCUGCGGUUUUGGGUGGACUCGUGACGUAUCAUCGUGUUGGUGGGGUAGUGGCUUAACGAGGCAUCAACGGGUAGCCGGCCUGAGUGGGAGAGCGGCAACAUUGGGACUGAGACGCGGCCCAGACGCCGACGGGAGGCAGCAGUGGGGAAUAGUGCACAAUGGGCAGAAGGCGGAUGCAGAGACGCCGCGGGCGGGAUAACGCCCUUCGGGUUGUAAACCGAAGUCAGCAGGGGCGAAGCUUGUGGUGACGGUACCUGCAGAAGAAGCACCGGCUAACUACGUG